GUGGGGAAUAUUCCGCAAUGGACGAAAGUCUGACGGAGCAACGCCGCGUGAGUGAUGAAGGUUUUCGGACUGUAAAGCUCUGUUGUUUAGGACGAAAGUGCCUGUUGCGAACAGUUACAGGUAUUGACGGUACUAAACGAGGAAGCCACGGCUAACUACGUGCCAGCAGCCGCGGUAAUACGUAGGUGGCAAGCGGUGUCCGGAAUUUUUGGGCGUAAAGAGCAUGUAGGCGGAGAUUUAAGUCUGUUGUGAAAAUGCGGGGCUCAACCCCGUAUUGCGAUGGAAACUGAAUUUCUUGAGUUCAGGAGAGGAAAGGGGAAUUCCCAGUGUAGCGGUGAAAUGCGUAGAUAUUGGGAGGAACACCAGUGGCGAAGGCGCCUUUCUGGACUGUGUCUGACGCUGAGAUGCGAAAGCCAGGGUAGCGAACGGGAUUAGAAACCCGUGUAGUCC
rnacentral:rRNA from 1 species